GAUAAGGUAGAUGAAUAUAAAUAAUGGCUAGGAAAUUCUCUAGCAAAACCCCAGAAGUGAAAAAGGUUUUUAAUGAAUAAUUUCAGCAAAAAGCUUCUCACCAAUUUUAGCACAAAUUUUAAAUUCUGGUGUUGUUGGUGAUUAAUCAAGAUUAUAUGUGUUGACACUCAUGUUUAUUAAAGAAGCUAAAAUUCAAUCUGCUCUAAUAAAAAUGAUAGAACCUACUACUGGAAGACAAUAAAAACACCUUUAUGCACAUAAACACACACACACACACAAAUUGAAAGAAGAUGCUGCAAAACAUUAUUUUCAACAAUUGUGGUAAGUAAUUUGACCAAAAGCCAAAUGUUAGAGUGAAAGACAGAGUUAAGGAUAUUAUAAAAGGGUUGGUCUCUUUGCCACAUUCCAUUCACAUGAACAAUGCAGAUUUGACAGACAGGAAUUCUUACUAACCAGGUGGGAAGAGGUGUGGUGAAUGGCCCACUUACCACAUUUUUAAGUCUUUCUUUGCUCUUUCUUUUUUCUUCUGUAGCCUUCGCAAAUGACCUUGAGAGGACAUUUUCCAAUCAUUUAACCUUUCUUUCCAUGAAUAAAUUUUCUUGAAUGAUGGUAUUGAUAUACUUUGCCAUUUUUUAUGAGUCUGCUUUUUGUUUUUUAGUUUGACAGUUGCCACAUUCUACAUUGUUAUAUCACUAUUUUCAAACUGUCACAGAGAAGUAUUCAUUGAAUGACCAAAACCUAACAGCAUCUCUAUCCUUCCUUUAUUCCUUUUUAAAAUAUGUAUCGAACUGUCUAUCCAAAAAGCACUAUCUUAAUAUGUCCUCAAUUAUUUUUUCUUCCUCAGUUAUGAUCUGGUACAUAGCACUACCAUCCACCCAUUUUGAGGCUGACACCAUUAUCUCACAUCCUUAAGUCCCAGUUUCCUCUCAUACUCAUUUCCCAGCAUCCCCAAAUCAGGUCAGCUUGGCCUCUGAUGUGUAUCCUGAAUGGGUGAUUUCCUACCCUCUCCACCUCUGAAACUCCAGAGGUGGCCACCACUGUUGGGAGAAUUUCCCAGCGGGAUCCCUUGCUAUUCCUCUUGCUAAUUUUUUAUCUUCUUAGUGAUCUUUUAAAAGUAUAAAUGGCUCAUCCCUGAUUUAAAAAAUAAGAUUAAAACUCUGUGUUUGUGUGUUAUGCUCUAGUUCGGAACCCCCAAAGGACCACCAGAGACCAAGAUCCUAUAAGCAGCAAAGAGGUGUUUAUUGCGAGCUAACUGGGUCUCUCUGCACACAGCAACUGGUGACGCUGAGAGGCCCCAGCCCAGGGUUUGCGGCAGUUUUAUACACUCUUUGGGGAAGGCAGGGACUUCACAUACAUCAUAACAUCUCUUAGCAAAUCAUCACACACCCACACACCGCAGGGAAAUCAUAAAACAACUCUAAAACAUGAUUAGCAUAUCAAGUGGUGGGAAAGAAUCUGGAAAGGAUUAUUGGUCAGUUCAAGGGGUUGACGCACUUAAAAAUGAUUGGUUUAAACCAUGAGGGUGUCACAAGGGGGGUACUGCCAAGCUGCAAGGCUUCUGGUUUAGAUAUUGAUCACCACACCUAGGUGGGGGCCAUCUGGAAUUUCAGAUAUUUCAGUAUCUUGGCCUAUCUUAGGCAAUCACCAUUUGCUUUGCACAGAGCUUUCUGUGGUAUUUCCUGACUUUAGGACUGCAGUAGGUCAGAGGUUAAGUUUCAGGGUAAAAUGAGGUUGCUUAGGUCUUUCAUGUGUGCCACUACACUUGAAAUACAAUUAAUUCCUUCAUUUACAAAAACUGAGUGAUCUGUCUUUCUGACCUCAUCUUCUGUUGUCCCUGUGCCCUGUUGGAUUUGUUCUUAGUAUUUGGCCCUUUUAUAUGUUCUUCAAACACACAAAUCUUACUUCUUUCAUGGGGUCUUUGUACUUUGUUCCUUGUAUUUGAAUUCUUCUUCCCAAGGUGGCAGCCUGUAUGGUCCACUUUCUUCCUUUAGGUCUCAACUCUAAAGUAACUAUCUCAAAAAAGUCUUCCCUGAUCACCCUAAGAGUUGGAUGCAUCUCACUCUACAAGUAAUGUCACCCACAGUCUGAUUCAAAUUAUCACAGCUCCAUGAGAAUUCUUUAAAAAAAAAAAAAUGAUUAUCAUUUGAGAAGAUUUAUGUUGAGGAGACCAGAGGAUCAAAGUUGGAACCAGUAAUGAGACACAGUACUGUAGAAAGAACAAGGUUUGGGAGGAAAACUGAUCAGAUUUCCCUGAUCAGUCUUUCACUUACUAACUUUAUGGCCUUCAGGAAAUUACUUACCACAUUUGAAACUUGGUUUCCUCAUCUGUAAAGCGUGCAUAUAAUAUCAAAAGUAUUUGUUUGCUUUAAGAUAUAUAAAAUAAUAUGUUUACCUGAAAUAGAGUAGCUAUUUACUGGGACCAUAUUUUUUGGUGUUGGUUCUUUGUUCUCAUAUUAUAAGGCUUUCAAUCUACAUUUUUUAAGCAUGUUGUAAUUUCUCUGAAGGAGGAAGCAGUUGACUACAACACAUGGCUAAGG
rnacentral:lncRNA from 1 species